GACGAGUCCAGAGUGACAAAGACGUCCUCAGAGAAGGACGAAUCAGACUCCAUGUGUCCAGACUGAGGACUGAAGACUCUGGUCUGUAUCUGUGUAACCUAAAGACAGAUGAUGGGUAUGGUUCAGCUAAAUGUCAACUUAAAGUUACUGCAGCUGCAGGUAACUUCCAACCUCAGAGACCGACUAUGAAUCCACAACCAAAGAUCUGGGGAAGGACCUCCAUCUACAUUUUAGUGGAACUGACAGCGGCUCUAGCUGUAGCUCUGCUGGUCACACUGUGCUGUUGUUGUUGUCGUUCAAUGAAAUCUGCUGGGGAGAAGGAAAAAUGCAAAGAAUUUGUUUAAAAAAAGGAGGAGCUACUUUCUCUGGACGCCUAGAGGUCCUCUGACCUUUUCACCUCUCUGCCUGCAUCAAAUCUCCGAGACCAGAACACAAGAUGAUUGAAGGAGGAACAUCUGGUUCUAGGAAUAGAAGACUGGCUGCAACAAUCAGGGAUCUCUGCUCUGAAAAUGGAUCCUAAUCUUCUACCAUCCAGAUCUCCUGCAGACCUCCUGCUUCCAUCCUCCGUCUCAUCCUGUCCUCCACCAGAGUCUCCAUCAUCCAUCGGUGAAGCACCAACAUCUGGACAGCAGGGGGACCAUUCAGUCCAGUGUUGAUCAGAGUCUAACGAACAUCAAACUGUCCUGAAAUCAAGGCAGCUAGGAGGUUGUUGUUUACUCCUACUGUCUCCUGCAGCCAUGUUGCACCAUAAUGUGUUUAAAGACCUUUAAUGAAAGAAGACUGAUGCUUUAUGCUGCUAAAACAUUGAAGCUGGGUUCAUAUGUUACUAAUUUAGGACUAAAGAUUAGAGAAAUUAAUCUGAUGGAUUGCUGGAUUUCCACUCUGCAGCAGCUUUGUAGUUUUUUUAAAUUUUAUUAUUAGUUUAAGCUGCCCUCAAAAGACUAAACUGAUUAUAUGUUUUAGUCCACUAUUCUUAUUUGUUCUGCAGCUCAUUGAUUUCAAGCUGGUAACAAAUAGACCUGAAGCAUUGAAAGCUGGUCUGUGAUUGGUUGAUGGCAGUUAGAGUAAUAUCUGGUUUUAUUAUUUAGUUUCUGUCUGAUCAGCAGCAGCAGGUCCUCCAUUUCACCACAGCAGUGAUACCGAUUAGAAACAGACGUCAGCCGACCUGGUUUGUUUGUCCAUCUUCAGAGGAAAUGAAACAGAACGGGCCUGAAAUCAUCAGAAAUCUUCAUGAGAUGCAGUUCAAGGAGGAUAAAACCCUCUGGAAGAUAUUUUAAUUUGCUGCAUCUUUAUUUAUUACCAAACUAUCAAACUUCUGUCACUGAAAACCAAACAGGAUCAGUUUUUUCUGUAAAUUAUAAACUCUGUGAAGCUUUUAUUGCUGCUGAUGAGAAUAAUAACUGACAGCAGUUUUAAAAGGUUUCUUGACUCAGUGAGACAGAAUAAUGGACCCUUAUUAUGACCUAACGCUGUGAAAGUCUCUGUUAUUAAAACACUUUGCUAACAUGAACAAUAAAUCCAUAUUUAUGCAAACAUGA